AGUGAACGCUGGCGGCAGGCCUAACACAUGCAAGUCGAGCGGAAGCACAGUACGUGCUCCUGCAUACAGCGGCGGAGUGGCGAAUAGUGGCGGAAUAUAUCCGAAUCUACUGUUGCGAAGGUGCUAACGCAGGGAAUAAUACCCCAAUACUCCAGACGACCUAAGGGUGAAAGCUUCGGAUCUUCCGAUAUCACACGAGCCAAUGUCGGAUUAGCUAGUUGGUGGGGUAAAGGCCUACCAAGGCGACGAUCCGUAGCUGGUCUGAGAGGAUGAUCAGUCACACUGGAACUGAGACACGGUCCAGACUCCUACGGGAGGCAGCAGUGGGGAAUAUUGGACAAUGGGCGAAAGCCUGAUCCAGCCAUGCCGCGUGUGUGAAGAAGGUCUUCGGAUUGUAAAGCCCUUUAAGUUGGGAGGAAGGGCAGUAAGUUAAUACCUCGCUGUUCUGACGUUACCCACAGAAUAAGCACCGGCUAACUUCGUG
rnacentral:rRNA from 1 species